ensembl:lncRNA
CACACACACACUCUCAGAGUGAAAGCUGGGUUUCUGACUAGCAGAUGAGGAGUUCUAGAAUCAGAAUCAGAAUCAUCGAGUGGGUAAAUGUUUUCAUUCCUAACACAUCUCUGCCAGCAGCACCAACAAUAACGCCGCUUACAUACGAAUUCAUCAUUAAACACAACAUGGAAUUGAAAGAGGAUGGAUAUAUAGUUCAGUCCGUGGUCUGGAAGAACCGGAUAUGCUGUUUGCUGGUGCAGGAAUAAACCAAAACACGAAUCACGACCCGCGCAUCAUUACACUGUGAGAACGGCACGGCUGACUCGAGCCGUGGGUGGAUUCAAACGCUGCCUCCUGCACCAGCCGCACACACAGUGAGUCAAAUGCCACAUCGACGCCUUUCAGAAGUUUCCGUCGUGACAUCACAGGCUGGAAGUUGUGCGGCGGCCUGCUCGGCCUCCGGCUGCAUGCGAAGCGCCGAUUAAAAAGGAGACGGGGAGGCGUUCGCUGGACGGGCGCCUCAGAGGAUCGACGCGGCCCACACGCAGCCGUGCUGACGAGGAGAGUCCUCUACUAAUAAUACCGCUCCGCGCCCCCACCCCACCAUGCUGGACCUCUGGGUGAGAGAGAGGGAGAGAGAGGUGUCAACUCUCGCUAUAACAAAAAUUUGCCUUUGUUGCAUGAACUCGUGAACAAACAGAAGGACGGGGCAUCUGAAUGUGGAGCACAAGGCUCGAGCUCUUGCAGGUGGAGGUGGCUCCACCACAGACCGGACUGAGAAGAUGCUCAGACGGGUAAAGUCAGGCUCGAAAUCUCAGCCGCGGUGUUUUACUGCUGUCAGAGUCGGAUGUUCCCGAGGAGACAGUUUGAUUCUGUGCUUGUUUUCAGGGGGCCGCACUGGGGCUCUACGGGUUUUAUUGAUGACAUUUAGUCGAUUUCUAAUGGAUUUGCUUGUAUCAAAUUUUGCUCACCGUGCACACGGCAUCAUGUUGGAUCAGCUCAGGGGUUUGUAUCGAUGUGUUCAGCCCACAAGGCCAUUCCUUUAUGCCUCUCAGUGGUAAGACAAGUGGAUUCUCGGCACUGGAGGGACGGCGGGAAGCAGCUGAUGGAAACGAAGUGACGGAUUGCAGCGUUAGUCGGGACAACCAGUAACGAUGACACUACGAGUCCCAGCGACCACAGAGCAUCUCCUAUUCUAGCUCUCGGGAAUCAGUGUGUGUGUGUGUGUGUGUGUGUGUGUGUACACCCGUAGCCAGUCCAACCCCCCGGUAUUGAUUUACUGAGGAUCUGGGCUAACAACAUGCAUCUAGGGUGCCUUGCUCUGUACCGAUGUUCUUUUCUCUAAUUCCAAGAAAACUUUCCACAGAUGCCCUCAAAAACCAUCAUUGCAUAAAAUAGUUUGCAGAACAACAAACUUUAAACAACCUUUCGAAUGAUUCCUGACACCAAGCUGCAUGAAUGGGAACAAGACUUUUGUAUAAAAUGUGACGGCUGGUGGGACAGACCUCAAGUCAGCGGUGGACUUUGGUUGCCUCUGUUGUUUCUGCCCCGUCUGAGACAAAAUUUGCUUCUGUUUUUUUCCUUGACAGAGGAGUCGGACGACGCAGUAGACGUUGGUAGACUCACAGCGGCUAUCGCAUCGUAUGGUUAAUAUGUCGCGGGCUGUGUAAUAUUAAGGCUUUACGCUUCGGGCUACUUCGGGCUUUUCUGGAGCUCCCCUUCAAUUAGAGAUGGAGCAAAUGCUUCAAGGACACUCGGUGCUGCCCGUGGGGUUCCCAGGAACAUGCUGGGUUUGACAGUCGGAAAGUCAGAAACAUGUUCUGUCCGAUAAGAGGAGAGUGACCUUUAAAGACAGGGGAAGAUAAAGGCGACCAUUAAAAGUCUCCAACCCGCAUUAAACCAGCCAAGAACUACACUUUAGUUUGAGAAACUGAAUGUUGUUGACCAAAACGCCGACCCAAAGAAUCCCCGACUAGCGAGUUUACGUUGCAGAAUUAGCAACAUGCGGUGGCCUUGGAAGAUUUGUGCGUUUGGAACAGGAGCAGACAAGUCUCCCCGAUAGGGGUCAGACCAACGGAGCAGCAGGAAGCGAACACAAAUCGAUAGGUCGGGGCCCGGUGUCGCCUUCAGCGCCUCAUGAAGAUUCCCUCCGAACUUCUUUUUAAAGAAAUAUUCUGGUUCUUUGUGUCCUGCCAUUCAUGCAGUAUCCAUCAAACAGACAACGACGCUGCUUCACUUUCAAGAUGCGAGAUGAAAGCGUUCCCCAGCCGCUGCUUCCAUCAGGUGCAUUAGCUGCUGAUACUAAAGAGUGGGCAUUGUGCUCGCUGCCAUUCAGGCUCCAUCUCCUCGCCACUCUGUGUGUGUGUGUUUGUGUGUUUGUGUGUGUGUGUGGGGGGGGGGGGUCAGGACCCCUCAGCCAGAGCUACCUCUCCCACCACACAUCAGACCGACACACGCCGCCUCCAGUAGGACGCACACAUGCCCGCUCACACAGACACACACAGUCGGUCACUGCAGCUCAGAGAUGAAAUGCUGCUCAGGCUGGUGGGAGAAGGUUUUUUUGGUUCAUGAUACUUUUGGAAACUUUUCUGAACCUCACACAUUUUGUCUGAUACACUUCAACGGGUGGACGACCUUCCUCAGGCACUGAGGAUGAUACCAUAUUGUCAUUAGUGGAGCGUGAAUAAAAGCAAAAAGGUACAAACGUAUUUAAAAAGUAGCAGGGCUCAAUGAGCUCAACGGCGGUGUAAAAUGAAUCUCCUGCAGACUUCACCAUCUCACGCUGUAACACGCUGAGCCUUCUGACCAUGUGUUGGACCUUCAGUGAGUCCACAGACUGGUCAGUUUGACUUUGCAGAAAUGUGCCGUUUUUGCAUUUUGAAUCCCGGGCAGGCGCUUUGCUUCUUUCAUCCAUGCACAAAGGCGGGCGAGAGGCAGAGCGGAGCUGGCACCUGCGACGCACAUCGAGUUUAAAUUGACGGCUGCUGAGCUCUGGGGUGCGUCCCCAGUGUAGGCGGGCGGCUGAGCCUUGGAGACCUUCUACGUUCCCGUCGGCAGACUCGAGUUCAAUAGACGGCCUGUCUUACACGAAGCCAAAGUGAAAUCGACCGGGGCAGGGUAAAAUGAAGUGUUUGGUGCAGAGAGCUACAUUAAAUCAGCUUUACUGAGGCUAAUAUAAUAAAACAAUUGUGUUUUCACAGUUAAAAUGAGUACUAUAUCCCACUUAGAGCAGUGCUUAUUUCAACUCGCUGGCAAUGAUUACUGUCCUAGUUAUCAAAUGCUUUGGAACAGGAAAGCUGUUUGACAAAGAGGUUGUUUGGGUACACCAGAAUUCCAAGAUGGCAAAGUACAUUUUGUCCACUUUGAAGAAGCAGCUGUUCCGAAAGCAUCCUGACAGAACUGCCCGGGCUUUUAAAGAGUAAAUAUAGAGGCACUGUUUUAUGUGCAUGUCGAGUACCCGCAGGCCGUUUGGGAGGAUGCACUAUUGGAGAAAGCGACAAUGUCCUGUGGAAUCUACUGGGAGAGAGCAGCUUUUAGUAAUUGUCCAAGCAUAAACAUCCAAGAACAUUCAGAGAUUUAAUUCUCCUUUUCAGCCAGUCCCUCCGAACUCCCGCUGCAGUUAAAGUAAGUGUUGUUGCAAAUGUACAAAGCAAAAGCCUCGAACAAGUCCGAUGGAAUCUAGCUGCUGUGUUUACGCUCACUCCGCCGCGGAAAACUGAAAGGACGAGAAGAGACAUCGCGAACAGGUCUCAGCCCGAGCUGAUUGGCCGAGGGAGUGAAGGAGAGGAGCAUUAAAUAAUAGAGCUCCGACUGACCCGGGGUGUCACCUUGCUGCUCCUGAGGACCCCGACGGCUCCCAGAAAGGGGUGAAACAUUAGCUGAGACUCGGACACACACCGCUGCCUGCUCGGAUCGAUCGCCACUGAUCGCCCUGCUUGCUCGGCUGUUGAAGCCAUUACCAGCGGUGUCUCCAUCGAUUACUGAAGGAACACGUGUGUCCCGGCUGUAUGGAAGGUCUGCUUCUUCUUGUCUCCAGGCCCAUCGCCGGAAGAAAAGCACAGGACGCCGAGGGCACGACAGGGUUCACUAAUGAGGGAGGGUGGAUGCACCGAGGAGCUCCGUCACACAUGUGGUUUCUGCAACCAACACAUGAAUUCAUUGUUCACAGUUUGAAUUUACAGUGAAAUUCAAACUGUUACCUACUGUAUUUUGAUUACAGUAUACUGCUGCAAAAGCAAGGCAUUCUGGGAGUUAUAAUGCUUGGUUCCAUUUUCCACAGCCAAGUGUUACUUUUCACAGUAAUUUACUGGGUACUGCUAAGAAUCUGAGGAAAGUAACAUAUAUUCAUUUUGAAGUAAGCUUAAAUAAUGAGGUGCCAGAGUUUUGCAAUCCCUCU